GUGUAAGAUACAUUAAUUAUGUACAUUAAUACCAAUAAAUUCGUAAUUUGAUUAUAGCAUCGUGCCUUUUUAUAUGCAAUAUGACGAACCUGUGAUAACUUUCCAGGUUCUUUUUUGA
rnacentral:sRNA from 1 species